rnacentral:rRNA from 1 species
AGAGUUUGAUCCUGGCUCAGAACGAACGCUGGCGGCGUGGAUAAGACAUGCAAGUCGAACGUCGAGACUUGGAGCUUGCUUUGGGUCUCGAGUGGCGGACGGGUGAGUAACACGUGAGCAACCUGCCCGGAAAUGGGGGAUAGCCCGAGGAAACUCGGAUUAAUACCGCGUAUGAUCUGGCACGGCAUCGUGCUAAGAUGAAAGGUGGCUUCGGCUGCCGUUUCCGGAUGGGCUCGCGGCCUAUCAGCUUGAUGGCGGGGUAACGGCCCACCAUGGCAACGACGGGUAGCUGGUCUGAGAGGAUGAUCAGUCACACUGGAACUGAGACACGGUCCAGACACCUACGGGUGGCAGCAGUCGAGAAUCAUUCACAAUGGGCGAAAGCCUGAUGGUGCGACGCCGCGUGGAGGAUGACGGUCUUAGGAUUGUAAACUCCUGUCAUCAGGGAGUAAAGCUCUGGCGUUAAUAGCGUCAUGAGCCUGAUAGUACCUGAAGAGGAAGGGGCGGCUAACUCCGUGCCAGCAGCCGCGGUAACACGGAGGCCCCGAGCGUUGUUCGGAUUUACUGGGCGUAAAGGGUGCGUAGGCGGCGAGGUAAGUCAGAUGUGAAAUCUUGGGGCUCAACCCCGAAACUGCAUCCGAUACUGCCUUGCUAGAGGACUGGAGAGGAGCUUGGAAUGUGUGGUGUAGCAGUGAAAUG